AGCCAGUCAGUUGCACCGUCAGUCGUAAAGUGUCGUUUAAGCUGUGAAAGAAUGAGGAUGAGUUUUGGGUUGACUUUCAGGGCAGCAAAAGGCCACUGGAUGGUGAACAUCAGCCGGCAGUGGUCACGUGGAUCCAUUCGGUUAUUUGUGCCACCAAGUCCUCCUCUGGACCCUGAGAAGGUCAAAGAGUUACAGCGCUUCAUCACUCUUUCCAAGAGACUCCUAGUGAUGACUGGGGCAGGAAUCUCCACUGAGUCGGGGAUCCCAGACUACAGGUCAGAAAAGGUGGGACUCUACGCCCGCACUGACCAGAAACCCAUUCAGCAUGGGGAUUUUCUACGGAGUGCUCCAAUCCGCCAGCGGUACUGGGCGAGAAACUUUGUAGGCUGGCCUCGGUUCUCUUCCCUCCAGCCUAACCCUGCACAUUGGGCUCUGAGCAACUGGGAGAGACUCGGAAAGCUGUACUGGUUGGUGACCCAAAAUGUGGAUGCCUUGCACACGAAAGCAGGGAGUCAGCGCCUGACAGAACUCCAUGGAUGCAUGCACAGGGUCCUUUGCUUGGACUGUGGUGAACAGAUUCCCCGGGCGGUGCUGCAGGAGCGUUUUGAAGCCCUGAACCGCACCUGGAGUGCCGAGGCCCACGGCCUGGCUCCGGAUGGCGACGUCUUUCUCACAGAGGGGCAGGUGCAGAGCUUUCAGGUCCCGUCCUGCGCCCAAUGUGGAGGCCCCCUGAAACCAGAUGUCGUUUUCUUCGGGGACACAGUGAACCCUGACAAGGUUGACUUUGUGCACAGGCGUGUAAAAGAAGCGGACUCCCUCUUGGUAGUGGGCUCAUCCUUGCAGGUGUACUCCGGCUACAGGUUUAUCCUCACUGCCCGAGAGAAGCAGCUCCCAAUUGCAAUACUUAACAUUGGGCCCACACGGUCGGACGACUUGGCAUGUCUGAAACUGGAUUCUCCUUGCGGAGAGUUGCUGCCUUUGAUAGACCCACGCUGACCACAGCCUGGUGAUCCUGAGCCCGAAGCUGGGACUUUCACUGUAAUCCUGCUAUUAAAGAUUCGUAAGGAUUCCUCACUUCCUCCUCUAACUAAUCAAGCUCACUGAGUGUAGCCUGUAGAGGGCAGCAAACCAACAUCUUUAUCCCAGCCCCUCCCUCCCUGAACUGGGCAGGUUUGAGUGUGGCUGAGAUUUACCCUGAAGAAAGACUUUUUCAAAGCAGCGGCUGCUCUUGAUAGGGAAAACUGCCCUCACUUGCUUUUUAUCUCACCAGGCAGAAGAAACAGCUUGGGAAAUAUGUAGGCCAGAACGGUCUCUGGAGUGCUAACCCAGGAAUCUCACUAAUGUGGGGGGGUGAGGGGAGAAGAAAAUGACUUCAUUUAGAAUUACAAAUGGUUAAAUGUCUCUAACUGAAACAUUUUGAUAUUUCUUUUUAAAGAUGAGUAAUGGUAUGAAUGAAUUUUUUAUUAACUAAGGAAUAAAGGAACCAUAUUUUUAAUAGCA